rnacentral:pre_miRNA from 1 species
GCAGGAACUUGUGAGUCUCCUAUUGAACAUGAACAGGAGGCUGAUGAGUUCCCGGGA